AACGAACGCUGGCGGCAUGCCUAACACAUGCAAGUCGAACGAAGUCUUCGGACUUAGUGGCGCACGGGUGAGUAACACGUGGGAAUAUACCUUUCGGUGGGGAAUAACAUCGGGAAACUGAUGCUAAUACCGCAUACGCCCUUCGGGGGAAAGAUUUAUCGCCGAGAGAUUAGCCCGCGUCCGAUUAGGUAAUUGGUGAGGUAAUGGCUCACCAAGCCUGCGAUCGGUAGCUGGUCUGAGAGGAUGAUCAGCCACACUGGGACUGAGACACGGCCCAGACUCCUACGGGAGGCAGCAGUGGGGAAUAUUGGACAAUGGGCGCAAGCCUGAUCCAGCCAUGCCGCGUGAGUGAUGAAGGCCCUAGGGUUGUAAAGCUCUUUCACCGGUGAAGAUAAUGACGGUAACCCGAGAAGAAGCCCCGGCUAACUUCGUGCCAGCAGCCGCCGUAAUAC
rnacentral:rRNA from 1 species